rnacentral:rRNA from 1 species
UUGAACGCUGGCGGCAGGCCUAACACAUGCAAGUCGAGCGGAUGAAGGGAGCUUGCUCCUGGAUUCAGCGGCGGACGGGUGAGUAAUGCCUAGGAAUCUGCCUGGUAGUGGGGGAUAACGUCCGGAAACGGGCGCUAAUACCGCAUACGUCCUGAGGGAGAAAGUGGGGGAUCUUCGGACCUCACGCUAUCAGAUGAGCCUAGGUCGGAUUAGCUAGUUGAUGGGGUAAAGGCCUACCAAGGCGACGAUCCGUAACUGGUCUGAGAGGAUGAUCAGUCACACUGGAACUGAGACACGGUCCAGACUCCUACGGGAGGCAGCAGUGGGGAAUAUUGGACAAUGGGCGAAAGCCUGAUCCAGCCAUGCCGCGUGUGUGAAGAAGGUCUUCGGAUUGUAAAGCACUUUAAGUUGGGAGGAAGGGCAGUAAGUUAAUACCUUGCUGUUUUGACGUUACCAACAGAAUAAGCACCGGCUAACUUCGUG